GCAUAUAUUGGAUAAAGUUUGACACAAGCAUACUGUUUUUGACAGGCUGGUUCUGUAGAUCCUGUAACAAGGACAAUCAGCAUAUUUUUACAGUUCUUUGACAUAGGAAUUGAUGUCAACUUAUUAUCACAGUACAUAUCUCUAAUGUUCAUUGGGGUGUUGAUUGUGGUGUCUGUAAGGGGCUUCUUGACUAACUUGAUGAAGUUCUUUUUUGCAGUUUCCAGAGUUGGAAGUGGAUCAUCAAGUAAUGUUGUGCUUUUUCUCUCUGAAAUCAUGGGAAUGUACUUCCUUUCCUCCAUUCUUUUGAUCAGAAAAAGUCUGGCAACUGAAUAUCGGAUAAUCAUCACGGAUGUAUUGGGUGGAGACAUACAAUUUGAUUUCUAUCACAGGUGGUUUGAUGCAAUAUUUGUAGCCAGUGCUUUCUUAUCGCUGCUUUUGCUCUCUGCACACUAUACAGCUCGAAAGGCCGAUAAUAAGCACCCAAUUGAUUAAACCAUAUUCAUGAGUGAAGAUGCUAAGUUUUAUGUUUAGGCCAGAAUCAAUUACACUAUAUUCUUUGUAAUGAUGUACCAUUGAUAUAGU
rnacentral:misc_RNA from 1 species